UAUUGGGCGUAAGAGCUCGUAGGCGGUUUGUCGCGUCUGCCGUGAAAGUCCGGGGCUCAACUCCGGAUCUGCGGUGGGUACGGGCAGACUAGAGUGAUGUAGGGGAGACUGGAAUUCCUGGUGUAGCGGUGAAAUGCGCAGAUAUCAGGAGGAACACCGAUGGCGAAGGCAGGUCUCUGGGCAUUAACUGACGCUGAGGAGCGAAAGCAUGGGGAGCGAACAGGAUUAGAUACCCUGGUAGUCCAUGCCGUAAACGUUGGGCACUAGGUGUGGGGGACAUUCCACGUUUUCCGCGCCGUAGCUAACGCAUUAAGUGCCCCGCCUGGGGAGUACGGCCGCAAGGCUAAAACUCAAAGGAAUUGACGGGGGCCCGCACAAGCGGCGGAGCAUGCGGAUUAAUUCGAUGCAACGCGAAGAACCUUACCAAGGCUUGACAUGAACCGGUAACGCCUGGAGACAGGUGCCCCGCUUGCGGUCGGUUUACAGGUGGUGCAUGGUUGUCGUCAGCUCGUGUCGUGAGAUGUUGGGUUAAGUCCCGCAACGAGCGCAACCCUCGUUCUAUGUUGCCAGCACGUGAUGGUGGGGACUCAUAGGAGACUGCCGGGGUCAACUCGGAGGAAGGUGGGGACGACGUCAAAUCAUCAUGCCCCUUAUGUCUUGGGCUUCACGCAUGCUACAAUGGCCGGUACAAAGGGUUGCGAUACUGUGAGGUGGAGCUAAUCCCAAAAAGCCGGUCUCAGUUCGGAUUGGGGUCUGCAACUCGACCCCAUGAAGUCGGAGUCGCUAGUAAUCGCAGAUCAGCAACGCUGCGGUGAAUACGUUCCCGGGCCUUGUACACACCGCCCGUCAAGUCACGAAAGUUGGUAACACCCGAAGCCGGUGGCCUAACCCCUUGUGGGAGGGAGCUGUCGAAGUGGGACUGGC
rnacentral:rRNA from 1 species